rnacentral:rRNA from 1 species
UACGAAGGGGGCUAGCGUUGCUCGGAAUCACUGGGCGUAAAGGGUGCGUAGGCGGGUUUUUAAGUCAGAGGUGAAAUCCUGGAGCUCAACUCCAGAACUGCCUUUGAUACUGAAGAUCUUGAGUUCGGGAGAGGUGAGUGGAACUGCGAGUGUAGAGGUGAAAUUCGUAGAUAUUCGCAAGAACACCAGUGGCGAAGGCGGCUCACUGGCCCGAUACUGACGCUGAGGCACGAAAGCGUGGGGAAGCAAACAGGGAUUAAGAUACCCGGG